rnacentral:rRNA from 1 species
AACGAACGCUAGCGGCGUGCCUAACACAUGCAAGUCGUACGAGAAAUCCUGAGCAAUCGGGAGAGUAAAGUGGCGCACGGGUGAGUAACGCGUGGGUAAUCUGCCCUGGAGUUGGGAAUAACACCUCGAAAGGGGUGCUAAUACCCGAUAAACUCCUCAGGACUGCGGUCUUGGGGAUAAAAGAUGGCUGAGGCUUGCAAGCUAUUGCUCCAGGAUGAGCCCGCGUACCAUUAGCUAGUUGGUGGGGUAAUGGCCCACCAAGGCAAUGAUGGUUAGCUGGUCUGAGAGGAUGGCCAGCCACACUGGAACUGAGAUACGGUCCAGACUCCUACGGGAGGCAG